rfam:Triticum aestivum genome assembly, contig: Triticum_aestivum_CS42_TGACv1_scaffold_094271_2AL
AUGUUACUCCCUUCAUCCGGAAUUACUUGUCUUGGAAAUGGAUAAAAAUGAUGUAUCUAGAACUAAAAUACGUCUAGAUACAUCCAUUUCUCCGACAAGUAUUUCUGGAUGGAGGGAGUAUAUG